UUCCCCGCGCACACACACUUAGAAAAUUGUUCACUAACUUACCCGGCGCAGGCGUUGACCAAAAAAAAAAGUACUCCUGAGAGUCAAGUUAUUUAUCCGUUUCAGGUCAUUUUGAGUCGAUUCAGACGCUCCUUAUUUGAUGAUAAAAAAUUCCCCGCACACCCACACUUAGAAAAUUUUCUAUCAGCUGACCCAGCGCAGGCGUUGACCAAAAUAAAAAAGUACUCCUGAGAGUUAAGUUAUUUAUUCGUUUCAGGCCAUUUUGAGUCGAUCCAGACACUCCUCAUUUUAUGAUAAAAAAUUUCCUGCACACUUACACUUAGAAAUUUUACAUGAAUUCUAUGAUUUAUUUUAUUCUCUUGCAAUAGUGUGAAGUUGCUAUUUAAUUUUCCCGCGACAACGUUCAUGUGUUUCACGUUCGCUUUGUAAACACAAUAUGUCGGUUGUUUACAAACGUCAAACUGUGUUGUGAAAACUUUUUUACGAUAUUUUGGCUACAUAUGAAGAAUUUAUGCUUUACCUAUUUCGGCCGCCAGGCGGCGCCACAUAUUCUUUAAAAAGUGGGGGGCCCCCCUUAGAGAAUGGCCUUAAGUAUCUAAAAAUGCAUAACCGUGAAAAAAUUUUCUGAUUUGGUAUAAUCUGGUUAUAUAUCGCCAUACCACCAUCUGUGG